CUCCACCGGAAAAAGAAGAGUGGCGAACGGGUGAGUAACACGUGGGUAACCUGCCCAUCAGAAGGGGAUAACACUUGGAAACAGGUGCUAAUACCGUAUAACAAUCGAAACCGCAUGGUUUUGAUUUGAAAGGCGCUUUCGGGUGUCGCUGAUGGAUGGACCCGCGGUGCAUUAGCUAGUUGGUGAGGUAACGGCUCACCAAGGCUACGAUGCAUAGCCGACCUGGAGAGGGUGUAUUCGCCCCACAUUGGGGACUGAGACACGGCCCCAAACUCCUACGGGGAGCCACCAGUAGGGAAUCUUCGGCCAAUGGACGAAAAUUCUGACCGAGCAACCCCCGCGUGAGUGAAGAAGGUUUUCGGAUCGUAAAACUCUGUUGUUAGAGAAGAACAAGGAUGAGAGUAACUGUUCAUCCCUUGACGGUAUCUAACCAGAAAGCCACGGCUAACUACGUGCCAGCAGCCGCGGUAAUACGUAGGUGGCAAGCGUUGUCCGGAUUUAUUGGGCGUAAAGCGAGCGCAGGCGGUUUCUUAAGUCUGAUGUGAAAGCCCCCGGCUCAACCGGGGAGGGUCAUUGGAAACUGGGAGACUUGAGUGCAGAAGAGGAGAGUGGAAUUCCAUGUGUAGCGGUGAAAUGCGUAGAUAUAUGGAGGAACACCAGUGGCGAAGGCGGCUCUCUGGUCUGUAACUGACGCUGAGGCUCGAAAGCGUGGGGAGCAAACAGGAUUAGAUACCCUGGUAGUCCACGCCGUAAACGAUGAGUGCUAAGUGUUGGAGGGUUUCCGCCCUUCAGUGCUGCAGCUAACGCAUUAAGCACUCCGCCUGGGGAGUACGACCGCAAGGUUGAAACUCAAAGGAAUUGACGGGGGCCCGCACAAGCGGUGGAGCAUGUGGUUUAAUUCGAAGCAACGCGAAGAACCUUACCAGGUCUUGACAUCCUUUGACCACUCUAGAGAUAGAGCUUCCCCUUCGGGGGCAAAGUGACAGGUGGUGCAUGGUUGUCGUCACCUCGUGUCGUGAAAAGUUUGGGUUAAGUCCCGCAACGAGCGCAACCCUUAAUUGUUAGUUGCCAUCAUUUCAGUUGGGCACUCUAGCAAAACUGCCGGUGACAAACCGGAGGAAGGUGGGGAUGACGUCAAAUCAUCAUGCCCCUUAUGACCUGGGCUACACACGUGCUACAAUGGGAAGUACAACGAGUCGCGAAGUCGCGAGGCUAAGCUAAUCUCUUAAAGCUUCUCUCAGUUCGGAUUGUAGGCUGCAACUCGCCUACAUGAAGCCGGAAUCGCUAGUAAUCGCGGAUCAGCACGCCGCGGUGAAUACGUUCCCGGGCCUUGUACACACCGCCUGUCACACCACGAGAGUUUGUAAC
rnacentral:rRNA from 1 species